UUUGUUUAAUUUCUCCAUUCUUCAAGUGGUUUUGUGUUUAAAAGUUUCUGUCAUUUAUAAAAGAAUUAUGUCAAGAGGCGGAGCUUAACACAGGCCUGUCAAGCACAGACUAGUUCAGCAUCACAGAUCACUGAGGGAAGCAGGAACCUGUUCAUCAUGUUCACUUGUGCACUUAUAUUGCUGACUUUAACUCAAGGUAACAGAGCUAAAGAGGUCAUCACUCCAUACAGUGAUGCAGCAUUUGCCUCUGAGACCGAGAGUGUCAAACUCUCUUGUAACUACAGCGGUUCUGUUGAUAGUCUUCACUGGUAUCGACAAUAUGCAGGUUCACCACCACAGUUCCUCAUACUGGAUUAUUUAGGACACGUUACUCAAGCUAAACCUCCAGUUCCUGGAAUAUCCAUCAGUCACAGAAAAGAAGCAAACAGUGUGGAUCUGGAGAUCUCCUCUGCUGCAGUAUCAGACUCUGCUCUGUAUUACUGUGCUCUGAGGCCCACAGUCACAGGAAACACAAGAACACUGUACAAAAACCUGACUGAUGUUAGUCUUACAGUGAAAUGUUGUCAAAAACAAUACAUCUCCAUACAGGUAAAUGUCUGAAAAUUAAUUGUAAUUAUUGUAUGAGAGUAUUUCAAUGAACAUUGAUGGAAUAACAAGCUAUAAUCUGUGUGUGUUAUCAUGUUUGAAGAAAUAUAAAUAAGGUCAGCAUUUAUCAUCUAUCAUCUUUUUCAGAUUCACAAAUGUUUUAUUCUUGUUAGACUUGUGGACGUUGUGAAUAAAUGUAAUAAAUGUUUGUCACAUCACCACUGGGGG